rnacentral:rRNA from 1 species
GAACGCUAGCGGGAUGCUUUACACAUGCAAGUCGAACGGCAGCACGAGAGAGCUUGCUCUCUUGGUGGCGAGUGGCGGACGGGUGAGUAAUAUAUCGGAACGUGCCUAGUAGCGGGGGAUAACUACUCGAAAGAGUGGCUAAUACCGCAUACGCCCUACGGGGGAAAGGGGGGGAUCGCAAGACCUCUCACUAUUAGAGCGGCCGAUAUCGGAUUAGCUAGUUGGUGGGGUAAAGGCUCACCAAGGCAACGAUCCGUAGCUGGUUUGAGAGGACGACCAGCCACACUGGGACUGAGACACGGCCCAGACUCCUACGGGAGGCAGCAGUGGGGAAUUUUGGACAAUGGGGGAAACCCUGAUCCAGCCAUCCCGCGUGUAUGAUGAAGGCCUUCGGGUUGUAAAGUACUUUUGGCAGAGAAGAAAAGGUACCUCCUAAUACGAGGUACUGCUGACGGUAUCUGCAGAAUAAGCACCGGCUAACUACGUGCCAGCAGCCGCGGUAAUACGUAGGGUGCAAGCGUUAAUCGGAAUUACUGGGCGUAAAGCGUGUGUAGGCGGUUCGGAAAGAAAGAUGUGAAAUCCCAGGGCUUAACCUUGGAACUGCAUUUUUAACUGCCGAGCUAGAGUAUGUCAGAGGGGGGUAGAAUUCCACGUGUAGCAGUGAAAUGCGUAGAUAUGUGGAGGAAUACCGAUGGCGAAGGCAGCCCCCUGGGAUAAUACUGACGCUCAGACACGAAAGCGUGGGGAGCAAACAGGAUUAGAUACCCUGGUAGUCCACGCCCUAAACGAUGUCAACUAGCUGUUGGGGCCGUUAGGCCUUAGUAGCGCAGCUAACGCGUGAAGUUGACCGCCUGGGGAGUACGGUCGCAAGAUUAAAACUCAAAGGAAUUGACGGGGACCCGCACAAGCGGUGGAUGAUGUGGAUUAAUUCGAUGCAACGCGAAAAACCUUACCUACCCUUGACAUGUCUGGAAUCCCGAAGAGAUUUGGGAGUGCUCGCAAGAGAACCGGAACACAGGUGCUGCAUGGCUGUCGUCAGCUCGUGUCGUGAGAUGUUGGGUUAAGUCCCGCAACGAGCGCAACCCUUGUCAUUAGUUGCUACGCAAGAGCACUCUAAUGAGACUGCCGGUGACAAACCGGAGGAAGGUGGGGAUGACGUCAAGUCCUCAUGGCCCUUAUGGGUAGGGCUUCACACGUCAUACAAUGGUCGGGACAGAGGGUCGCCAACCCGCGAGGGGGAGCCAAUCUCAGAAACCCGAUCGUAGUCCGGAUCGCAGUCUGCAACUCGACUGCGUGAAGUCGGAAUCGCUAGUAAUCGCGGAUCAGAAUGUCGCGGUGAAUACGUUCCCGGGUCUUGUACACACCGCCCGUCACACCAUGGGAGUGGGUUUCACCAGAAGUAGGUAGCCUAACCGUAAGGAGGGCGCUUACCACGGUGGGAUUCAUGACUGGGGUGAAGUCGUAACAAGGUAGCCGUA